CCUACGGGUGGCAGCAGUGGGGGAUAUUGCACAAUGGUGGGAACCCUGAUGCAGCGACGCCGCGUGGGUGAAGAAGCGCCUCGGCGCGUAAAGCCCUGUCAGCCGGGAAGAAAAUGACGGUACCUGAAGAAGAAGCCCCUGCUAACUACGUGCCCGCAGCCGCGGUAAUACGUAGGGGGCCAGCGUUAUCCGGAUUUACUGGGUGUAAAGGGGGCGCAGACGGCGAUGCAAGCCAGGAGUGAAAGCCCGGGGCUCAACCCCGGGACUGCGCUUGGAACUGAGUGUCUGGAGUGUAGGAGGGGCAGGCGGAAUUCCUGGUGUAGCGGUGAAAUGCGUAGAUAUCAGGAGGAACACCGGUGGCGAAGGCGGCCUGCUGGACUGCAACUGACGUUGAGGCCCGAAAGCGUGGGGAGCAAACAGGAUUAGAUACCCCGGUAGUC
rnacentral:rRNA from 1 species